UAUAAAAUAAAUACUAGGGUUUCCUAAAUUUGUUUUUUCUUUCCAUUUUUGCCUAAUGCUCUCAUCUUCAGGUAAACUUUGAUGGUUGCUCAUCUUCUAAAUCGUUCAUUUCUGAAGCAUUCGAUGUGAAUUAUCAAUUAUUUUACUGGUACUCUCUAUUGUAUCUUGAUUCUCAACUAUCAACAGUAAGUAUCUCCAUUUCAGCUGCUUUGGAACUUCAAAUUUCAGCUCAUUUUCCUUAUUCCUUUGUUGAUUGGAGUACCCGUGAUAGUAAUUCGGCUGAUUUCUCUUAUGGGUAAGAUUUUUGAAGCUGUUUGUUGCAGAUUUGAUAAGUCUAGAGCCCUGGUCCAGCUUGCAUGCCCAAGUGUAGAUUAGAGUGAAAUAAAUGGAUGCUCUAGCCCACAAAUACUUAUCCCUAAAGUUGACUCCCAGGUGUACUUAUAGUAUAUAAAACUAGUAAUCCCCCUUUGUUGGAAACAUUACAUGCUAUAUUCUAAAGUCGUACAGAUUAGAUAGCACUUUCUUUAUUUUUGUGACUGUAUCUCCAAUCUCCCCUAACUUUCUUUUCUCAGUGUAACUCUGAUAUAAGGACACUACAUCUUGUCACUAUUUAAAUUUCUUCUUGCUUUGCUAUCUAGCUGCUGAAAUGAAUUAAAUUUGAAAUUUCCUUCA